rnacentral:tRNA from 1 species
AGGAGUGUGGCUUAGUAGAUAAAGCAUGGGCUUUGAGUCAGAAGUACCUGGGUUCUAAUCCCUGCUCUGCUC